rnacentral:pre_miRNA from 1 species
AGGAGGAACAGCCCCCCAGUGGCGGGGCCAGCUCUGGAGCUGGAUUCAGCUCCGGCAGUAACUCCGGAGCUCUCCGUCUGCAGGGCCUGGAGGCUCCGGGGCGGG